AUUUAUUGAUUUCUAGCUGUUUCUAGUGUAAAUUGUUUACAUUAAUUGUCCCUAUAGCAGGGGUAUUCAAAAACCUAAUGUUUUUCUGUUCUACCUGAUAGUUGCACCCACCUGGUGUCCCAGGUCUAAAUCUGUCCCUGAUUUUAAAGGGGAACAAAUCCAGUGGAACAGCUUCCGGGUCCAGAGUUGAGUUUGAGGGAUGUAUAUAUUUUAUAUAUUCUGUGUUUUGUCUGAUUGUGAACUACCUCUGCUACCUGCUGUAGUGCUGACACUGUCCUCUAGGCUGGGUGUGUUACUGCCUCCCCCAUGCUGUCAGAGCAUGCCUAGCCUAGUUCUUCUCACAGUGCCAAGCCAUGCCACACAGUGUGGGGUGCAACAGAUUCCAGUCAGACUGAGGAGACACCAGUCAUGGCUAGCUGUUACAUCACAUUACAUAAGACAGGCAGACGGAUAGACGGCAGGACGGACACGCGGGCGGCGGCUGUGAUUGGCGGCUCUGCGGCAGGCUGGUGGAAGAUGUCGUUGGGAGCCGGCGGGAGGGGCGGGCGGCGGCUCAGGGGCACUGGGGGUGGAGGAGGAGGGAGAGGGGAGGCGGCGGAGGAGGGCCUGGUGGGCAUCCCCUUCCCCGAGCACAGCGCAGACAUCCUGGGCAGCCUGAACAAGCAGCGCGUCAGCGGCCUGCUGUGUGACGUGCUCCUGGUCAACCAGGAGAGGGAGUUCCCCGCCCACCGCUCGGUCCUGGCCUCCUGCAGCCCCUACUUCUACAAGCUAUUCACCUCUGGUCCAACUGCCGACCAGCAGCACGUCUACUCCAUCGACUUUGUGGCAGCCGAGGCCCUAGCCGCCCUGCUGGACUUUGCCUACACAGCCACGCUGACCGCGGGCAGUGAGCGAGGAGAAGAAGAGGAGGAUGAUGAUGAGGAGGAGGAGGAGGGGAAAGGUGGAGGAGGAGAGGUGGAGCAGGGGAAUCGACUGCGGGCCCAGGAGUAUCUACAGUACUUCCAGAGAGGGGCCCACUGGAGCAGCAGCUGCAGCACACCAGAGCUCAGGGACAUGCCCACACACCUGCACUUUAAUCAUGGCAAUGGGGCCCAAAGCAACGGAGCCCCCGGGGGCCCCGAGAGUACUACUCUCCCCUGGACCUCGCCCUGACCCAGGCCCCCACACAGGACCCUGAAGAUGAAGAGGAAGAGGAUGAGGAGGACGAAGGGGAGGUGGAGCACUCUGAAAGUGGUGGGGACAUGCUGGCCUGGGCCAGGGGUAACGGAGGGGAGCCAGGGGCCUCUUUCUAUGCCCCAGCCCAGAACGGCCACUUUUACCUCCCAACGAAGCCCAAACUGGAGACGGAGGAAGAGGGGGAGGAAGAGGGGGGGCGGGAUGGAGAGAGGGGCUCGGCCAGCGCCCUCCUGCAGAAGAUGAUGGACUCCAUCGAGAGGCAGAAGGAGCGGGCCGCGGCCGGGGAGGAGCUGGGGGGAGGGAGAGGACCCGGACGUGGAGUUUUACUUGAAUUACUUUAAUAGCACGCAGCACGAGGAUGCCGCUGCCGCCGUCUCACAGGGACUGCUGCCCCUCUGGACGGCACGGGGCGGUUCUAGCCGAGAGAGAGAGAGGGGGGGAGGAGAGAGGGGAGGAAAGGGAGGAGAAGAGAGAGGGGGCGGAGGGGAGAGGAAGAUGCGCUCCAAGGCCUUCCAGAAGUGCCCCAUCUGCUCCAAGGUCAUCCAGGGAGCAGGCAAGCUACCCCGCCACAUCCGCACGCACACGGGAGAGAAGCCCUAUGAGUGCGCCAUCUGCAAAGUGCGCUUCACCAGGCAGGACAAGCUCAAGGUUCACAUGCGUAAGCAUACGGGAGAGAAGCCUUACUUGUGCACGCAGUGCGGUGCUGCGUUCGCCCACAACUACGACCUGAAGAACCACAUGCGCGUGCACACAGGCCUGCGGCCCUACCAGUGCUCCAGCUGCUUUAAGACUUUUGUGCGUUCAGACCACCUGCACCGCCACCUCAAGAAGGACGGCUGCAACGGCAUCCCCUCCCGCCGCGGCCGCAAGCCUCGUGUGCGGGACCCCGGGCUCCUGGAGGUCCCUGUGGGGCUGGCGGGCCCCGGCCCUCGGAGUGGCAAGGGGAGACGGCGCAUGGAGGCGGCUUCAGCUGCGGCGGUGGAGGGGGCCUCCAGGGCCCAUGCACACAGUCCUCAGCCCCAGGAGAUGGCAGGGGAGCCGGGGGACUGAGACAGGGAGGGACGCUGGACGCCAUAUUCAUACUGGGACCCUGAGGGGCCGCCACCGAAACCAAGGGAGAAAAGAACACGCUAUGAACAAGGGCAAACAAAAUAAACACAACAACUAACUAUUCCUCUAUAUACCAAAUCAGGGUGUCACCAAUCUAAUAUUUUCAGUUUAUUUUAUCCCUUUGCUUUAGGAAACAGAGUAAACACACAAACACCAGUCAGUGGUCUGUUAAAGAGCAAAGAAUGCUUCAAAUCACACCUCCAUGACGUCUCCUUUCUGGGUCAUUUCUGUCUCAUCUGGGUUUCUGUACAUUUGGCAAAAGUGCUUAAGCUUAUGUAUAACCAAACAACAGAAAAACCUGAGCAACUAUGCAGUUAAAAUAGAUUCUAUUGGUUUGGACUUCAUAGCCUUCAAACUUUGAGGUGUCCCACAUCUAUUGGCUGCUGCAUUGGUGAACGGAGUGUGAUCUCUCAUAUUCAGAUGGAAAGCAACCAAUCUUUUUCUAUUCUUUUGCAUUUCUAAAAUGUACAGUUACUAUAGUAGUAGUAUUGUCAGAAUAUGACAAUAUAUGCAAGAUUAACUCAACCACACCUCUGAUGCAGAAAUAAUCAUUUUUUUCAAAUGCUCCAGAAAGAAUCAGACAAGGAUUUGAUUUAAGUGUUACUUACUCUUUAAAAUAUAUUUUUUAAUCUAUGGUUCAUCUUUUUAAAAUGUUAAAUGUCGAGUUGAAUCCACGUUUGGGGGGGCUCUUCCAUUGCAGGGGUAAGGACCACGAGAGGAGGGGGUGUGUUUCUAAAGCACUACCAUGGUCAUGUUGCCAGGCGACCACGUCGUUGACUACCAAUCACAACCCUGAAAUUUCAGCCUUUCUAUUUUCUUUUUGAUUUGUCUUAAUUUUUUUCCGUUAUUUGUUUCUUGUUUGAGUUGACUGCUUUGGGUACUUGACACUUUACAUUUGUAUACAUGUAGAUACAUUAGUCGGUGAUUAUAUUGGUCCUUUUUAAUGCUGAGAUAUAUUAGCCUACCAAUCGGGGUUUCCUUCGGCUUGAUGUCAGAUUUCUCACAGAGUGAAGCUUGUGGGUAAAAGAGAAAAGAAACUGUAUGAAUGUUAGAGUAUAUUGAAUUGAGAAACCCAUUGGUCCUAAACUUAACACUUGAUUGAGAUGUAUAGAGUUACUGCCCGAAGGAAGAAGAGUUACUAGCUAUGUGCUUAACUUUGUGCAGUUCUGACAGAAUCUUCCCUGGCGUGAGAAGGAGAGAGGGCAGUGUCUAACCAACAGCAGGUUGAAAAAGACGAAAACCAGGGAUAGACAGAGAUGAGUAGAGGAGAGACGAGCACCUUUUUUAUACGUUUGCACAGCUUUACUAAAGAUAUCCAACAGAGAGAUGUAUAUUUAAAGGAGGUCGUCAGGAAAAGGAGGUGUGUAAUUGUGCGUAUUCCAAUCUUUUUUGUCCUGGGGACCACGAAGCCACGAGGCAACCUGUGUGAUGAAGAGAGCAAUAAAUACCUGUCCAAGUUGGGAGGCCAAAUAAGUGCGCAGCUGGGUGUUGGGGGAUGGGUGGCGAGGGGAGGGGGAUUUCACAAUGUCUGUUGCAUUCCAAAAUAUAAUCUCCUCGGCACAGCCAUGUUUCCAGGCAGAACGGGUUCAAAUCAGGCCUUCUCUCUCCCACUUUAGUCCUCCAAUGCCCCAAAACCAGCCUGUGGAGUGCAGGGUAUUAUAGAGCCCUGGGUAGAGAAGGUCUACUCAGUGGCUGACUGGACUGCUGCUGGGUGUUUGUGUGUGUGGCAGCCAGGGUCUUUUCUCUGGCCACAUCAGCGCAGUGUGACUCACUCACAGACGGGCUGGGAGUGUCAGCAGCUCCUCCAGUUGUGGGCACGUUCAAACACGCUCCCCAAACUGCUGGCGCACUAAAAGCCAAGCAGACACUAAAGUGGGCGAAAAACACGAGGUCAGCCACUAGGUGCUGCUCUACAGACUUAUGACGUGUGUUCAGUAUGGGCCACUGGCUCACAUACAUCUGGACAUGUUUGUCUUGGUCAGUACACUCUUAACCACACAGAGGAGAGGGUGCCGUGCCAGUGACUUAGAUCGAAUUCCCCUGCCAUUGCUGCAAUGCGGUGUCCUGAGUAUCAGUCCUUUGCACCUUAAUGGGAAAGAAGCAGGUUAUGAAUGCACUUUGUUACUGAGAAGGGCACUUUUGUCAAAGAAACGGGUACUUUGAAACAAAGUAAGGCGAAUGAGCUUAAUAUCCCCAUCGCAAGUGCUGCCGUUAAGCUUGUUUUCUGGUUUUGUUCAGUUUUUGACGACAAGCUGCCAAAAAAGAAAAAUGUAUGUGCGUUUUGGAUCUCUUAAGAGAAGUCAGGCACGUUCAGAAAUGAACAUGUUGGGUUUUGUGACCAUACAAACUUUUAAAAAUACAAAAUAACCCCAUGUAACUGAUUGCACUUGAAAUUAAGUUUUGGUAAAAAAAAAUAUAUAUAUAUAGUCUAUAUUCAUGUCUUAAUGCAGAGCAGGGGAGGAGUGGAGGGGGUGGGGCUGGAGUGUGUGUGAGUGUGUGUGCAUGGCUGGAGGGUCUCAGGGCAAGCCUGGAUAAACAAACUAUCUCCACCCAUCUGUUCACCAGCUCCCCUCUCAUAGCUCCACAUAUUAUCACAGGGAAGAAAACACAGUCAGACACGGCAGUUCCAUCAUACACAUACUAUUUUCCAAGUAGUGGCUAACUAAGGGGGGUGUGUGUGUGUGUGUGUGUGUGUGUGUGUGUGUGUGUGUGUGUGUGUGUGUGUGUGUGUGUGUGUGUGUGUGUGUGUGUGUGUGUGUGUGUGUGUGUGUGAGAAUACUUGAAACAUCCACACACUCUAAACCAUCUCUUCCAUAGCUUUUCAGCGCUUUGUAUUCUGUUGCAAUCUUUAUUUCCCUGGGAUUUGUUAUUGAACAGUUUGACUCCUUUUAGAUGAAUGUAUUCAAUAGUCUGUCAGUGUGGACAUCUACAAUGAUCAAGUCAAAUACUAGGAGGUAGUAGAUAAGGGGUGGUUAAUAUGUAUAGCCUGAAUGCCAGGAGCUCGGUGUAGGGUCAUGUAUAUGCAUAGGUCUGAUGAAAGCCAUAGUUCGGUGAGGUGUUAGGCUUCUAAGUCACCCCUCCCAAGCAUAUGUAACCAUUAAAACGGGUGACAUUCUUGGGCCUUAGUAUUGUGAUUUCAAGUUGUAUUCCUAUUUUAUUUCUUUAUUUUUUGGCUAAGCCAAAAUUGACCCAGAUUGCACAUAGGACACUCUUAUAGAGAUAUGCCCUAGUUGCUCUUCAUGUCUGGUGUAUAAUAUGAAGGUAUGAAAGUAAUCCCAGACAUUAUAUCUAGAAUGAGACUCUGACCAAGCCACACACCAACACCAACAAAGCCCACCCCCUCGAUAUGUAUGCAGCAAAUUGUGUGGAAUCAUACACAACAUUUACUUGAGUUCACAUUUCUCCCUUUAUUUCUGUGGACUUUACAAUGGUGUAGAUGGAAUAGCUUGUCCUUUAUGUCUUUAUGUAAAAAAAAAAAUGUCUUAAAAGGUUCCGCUACAGCAUUACUCUGUUUUUGUGUGGGUGGGGGUCAGGGUAUGGGAUGUGGUUUAGGGAGGGUGGGGGUCAGGGUAUGGGAUGUGGUUUAGGGAGGGUGGGGUAUUUUAUGAGGUCGGGCAGAGGGGUGUUUUGGGUGGGGUUGGGGAUAUAAAGCCUGAUAGCACUGGAAAUAGUGCUAUAGCUGAGACAACAAGAGUUUGCACUAAAGUCAUGUCCUUGUCCUGCUAAGGGUAGGAGGGCAUGAGACCUCAGCAAGGCCCUUGAGUUUCCAUGAGCACAGGGUGUUACACACUCAACGGUCCAACACAGAGAGUCCAUCCAUUCCCCUAACCAGCAGACUUGAUCAUGUAAAGGUUCUUCUGAGAAGUAUACCAACAUUAAUUAACCAAACCAAAGCAGAAAAACACUUUGAUAAGUCAUUGCACAUUUAAGCUGUCUUAUCAUGUUGAAUGUAUACAGCAAAGCCUGAAGGUGCUUUGAAAGUUGUAGAAUAGUUCACUAAAGUCAUGUAACUACAGCAAAUCUGAAACUCUCCCUCCAUGUUUGAAAUGUUGUAAACAUUCAGACCCUAUAUAUAACUUCUAUAGCUGCCUCUGGAAGGUAGUAUGACAACCCUCUGAGCAGUGUGUUCCGCAGCAGUGUCUAGAUAAAUUCAGGUGUCCUUUAGGUAGAGUGAGUGUUCUCUGGGACUCUGUGGCCUUGUCUGAGGACUAAGCUUUGUUUAAUGGGUCCAGUAGCAGUCUGGGGCUGGGGCUCUGUCUGUCUGUCUCACCAGGGGGACAUGGGUGAGAACGUGACUUAAAACGGAAGGAAUGGAAGAACCCCUCCCUCGUUCUAAUUGUAGAACACCUUAAUCUAACUUCCUAAUGGUUAGUUAAAACAUGUGGAUGUUGAGGAGUGUGGCUGAAAAUCUCUGGUGAGCCACUCUCAAUCAAACUCCCACUGUAUUGUUUGACCAAACUACUAUGACUUACUUAUAAAUGUAAGAAAAGGUGGACCUAUGAACUAAUUGUUCUACUGGUUGAUGUUGUGGUGUAGUUCUCUGCUACUUCGUUGCCCUAUGUUCCCAUGGUCCCACCCCUGGUGAGACCUCCCAGGCUCAGCCCCUGACCCCUGUUACUCUGACACACGCUACACUGAGAAGGUGUCUCACAACUCCUUCAAGAAAAUACUUAUUGUUUGUGUUUAUCCAAAUCGUCCUUAUGUUUUGUUCCUAAUUUAUUAAGAAAAAGAAAAGAACAUGUCUGAAAGCAUUAAAAACUACGCAAAACAUUUGAUAACAAUUAUAACUAAUAAUCAUAGAACAGGAGUGGGUAAUGGUGGUGGAGGAUAUGUUUUGUUAGUGGUGCUGCACACCUGAAUGUCCAGGCUGGUAAAGCACAGCAAGCUGAGGAUGACAUAUGUAGUAUGGCACAAUGCACAGCGUGGCUCUGGCACUGGCACAGCCAUCCCUGGGGCCUAUCAGAGGCUAUUGGCUGGUUGGUCGGCCAGUUUACUGUAGGAGUCGCUAUCUACUUCAGUGGGGUACAAUGGUUUGUAAAAAGUGGGAGAGACCAGAUCAGGGAAGUUGUGCUGUGCAAUGGUUCAGGUUGCCCCAUCUUGUUGUGUUUCACUGGGAAUUAUAUGAUGUAGCAAAAUGGUGGACGGUGUAGGGGAGUCACAGAACUGGUGAUGGGGAAAUUACAGGGGAAUGUUGAUUAUCUACUUUUCUGUUAGUGCUUCUCAGGUGGAAAGCAACACUGCAAUGCAUUGCGUUUCAAUUUCUGUUUCUGUUCAGUUUGUGGUUUGACCCCAGUAACAUCCAUUUGUACAAUUGCCAAAUUGUACCAAUGUUUAACGAAAUGGUUCCCAGAACGCAGAGCGCGGAAACAGUUGGUUCCCCAUUGCCAUGUGACUGUGACCCCUAUUGCUUUACCUAAUGUUCAUUCAAUGGCUUGUCUGUGGGAGGGAGAGUGCUCAGAAGUCUGUGUUAAUCAGGUUAAAACAUGUAUAAAAGUAUCUGGGUAUGAAGCACAGAGGGAGGGGAGAAGGGUGGGUUCUCUCUCCAGACCCUGGUUUCCAUAUCUCUAAAGACAGGCCUUUGAUUAGAGAUCACAGGCCCUCAGCAGGAGAAGCUGAGAGAGGGAGGGAGGGAGAGAGGGAGAGAAAGAGAGACUCACUUGUGGUUUAAAGCCACCAACCAAUAGAGGAUACAUUCCAUAACUUCAUACUGUAAUUCCCGCUUCUGAGUCUUGGCGUGGGGAGACGGAGGGGAUAGAGGGAGAGGAACAGUCAGCGUUUUACAGCCGAGUGUUUCAAUCUGUCCAUUCCACCUCCUACCACCCCCAGUCUGACAGACAGACAGACAGGCAGGCAGUGAGCUUGGCCUCUCCAGGCUUGGCCGUCCAACUGCCUGAAUGUCUCAGCUUCUGCGAUUGUAACAAAGCACUUUGCGAAAGGCCAUCCAGAAUAUUGUUUGCUGUUUUUUGGGGGUUAUUACUAUUGUUAUUAUUGUUUAUUCUUGUUGAUAUUUUUAUUUCAUUAUGGAUUAUUAUUUAAAUGCAAAGCUACAUGAAAAUGAGAACUUGAAUAUUUGAUAUUUGGGUUGAAGUCCAUUCGAGCUACCGCCCCACUAGGCCAUAUAUACACCUCUGGCACACACACAGUCUCAGCUAAUAGAUGCAGCUCAGUGGGGAUACACUCGGAGUGAAAGGGUUUUAAGGCAAGGUCUCCUUCAUCUCCACAUACAAUCUCUUUGGAAAACAAGUCAUAUAAUCUCAUUGGGAGAGUUGCGCUGCACAGAAACUUCCAUAACAGUUGAGAAGCUUUCUGAGAAGGCUAACUGGGUUGUUCUACUUAAUGUCAAACAUGCAGUACUUUGUAGGUUUAAAGCUGAUUUAUUUUUAUCUCUCACGUCACUUACACAUACUGGUUCAUUAAUGUAUGUGGUGUCUCAUUGCUGUACAAUAGUGCCCCUUGUGUAGCUAGAGUAAAUUGCUGGAUCUGGUAUCCUCAAAUCAUUCUGAGACAUGAAAAUAGGAACGACCAAAUUAUUGUGCAGUUUUUGUUUGGAGUUAAGGUUUUGGCCUUCACAUAGAUUUUUCAGUCAAAUCAAAAUUUGUUUUAGCAAAAUAGAGUAGUAUGCAGAAGUUUGAGGGAGAAGAAAGUGACUAUCCAUUGUAGAUUGAUUUCUAACUGUAAAAAUCACUAACCAUCCAUUCUAGUUUAAAACGCUGGGGCAUUGGGGGCAGCAGAGUAUUCCCUGUCUGUCAGGCUUGGAUGCUAAAAAUCCUGUCCUCUUCAGAAAAGUAAUUUUCAUUAACAUUGUCAGUGUAUUUUGGAAGCUAUGCAGGGCUAUGCAGGGGAUAGGUGGUUCUGGAGAAUUUGCACUUUUGGCUACAAAAAUAAAUUGUAUUGUAUAUGAGACCACUAAAUCCACACCGUCUAAACCAUAUAAUUCCAUUUGUUUUGUUCUGUUUUUCUCUUUGUAAUAUAUCCCAAAAUGUCUGGCGUCCUUGGUUGAACGAAACAACAAUCUUUCUAUUAAAAAAAAACAAUGGUUGUGA